rnacentral:rRNA from 1 species
GUAGUGGCGGCUGCCUUAACAUGCAGUCGAACGGCAGCGCGGGGCAACCUGGCGGCGAGUGGCGAACGGGUGAGUAAUAUAUCGGAACGUGCCCUGGAGUGGGGGAUAACGCAGCGAAAGUUGCGCUAAUACCGCAUACGAUCUAAGGAUGAAAGCAGGGGACCGCAAGGCCUUGUGCUCCUGGAGCGGCCGAUAUCUGAUUAGCUAGUUGGUGGGGUAAAGGCCUACCAAGGCAUCGAUCAGUAGCUGGUCUGAGAGGACGACCAGCCACACUGGAACUGAGACACGGUCCAGACUCCUACGGGAGGCAGCAGUGGGGAAUUUUGGACAAUGGGCGCAAGCCUGAUCCAGCAAUGCCGCGUGAGUGAAGAAGGCCUUCGGGUUGUAAAGCUCUUUUGUCAGGGAAGAAACGGUGAGUUCUAAUACAGUUCACUAAUGACGGUACCUGAAGAAUAAGCACCGGCUAACUACGUGCCAGCAGCCGCGGUAAUACGUAGGGUGCAAGCGUUAAUCGGAAUUACUGGGCGUAAAGCGUGCGCAGGCGGUUUUGUAAGUUUGUCGUGAAAUCCCCGGGCUCAACCUGGGAAUGGCGAUGAAGACUGCAAGGCUAGAAUCUGGCAGAGGGGGGUAGAAUUCCACGUGUAGCAGUGAAAUGCGUAGAGAUGUGGAGGAACACCGAUGGCGAAGGCAGCCCCCUGGGUCAAGAUUGACGCUCAUGCACGAAAGCGUGGGGAGCAAACAGGAUUAGAUACCCUGAUAGUCCACGCCCUAAACGAUGUCUACUAGUUGUCGGGUUUUAAUUAACUUGGUAACGCAGCUAACGCGUGAAGUAGACCGCCUGGGGAGUACGGUCGCAAGAUUAAAACUCAAAGGAAUUGACGGGACCCGCACAGCGUUGAUGAUUGUGGAUUAAUUUCGAUGCAACGCGAAAAACCUUACCUACCCUUGACAUGGUCGGAAG